rnacentral:misc_RNA from 1 species
GAUGAAGAACGCAGCGAAAUGCGAUAAGUAAUGUGAAUUGCAGAAUUCAGUGAAUCAUCGAAUCUUUGAACGCACAUUGCGCCCGCCAGUAUUCUGGCGGGCAUGCCUGUUCGAGCGUCAUUUCAACCAUCAAGCCCCCGGCUUGUGUUGGGGACCUGCGGCUGCCGCAGGCCCUGAAAAGCAGUGGCGGGCUCGCUGUCACACCGAGCGUAGUAGCACAUCUCGCUCAGGGCGUGCGGCGGGCUCCAGCCGUUAAAGCACCCACCUUUCGCAAGGUUGACCUCGGAUCAGGUAGGAAUACCCGCUGAACUUAAGCAUAUCAAUAAGCGGAGGA